ACACUCCUGCGGGAGGCAGCAGUGGGGAAUAUUGCACAAUGGGCGCAAGCCUGAUGCAGCCAUGCCGCGUGUAUGAAGAAGGCCUUCGGGUUGUAAAGUACUUUCAGCGGGGAGGAAGGCGAUAAGGUUAAUAACCUUGUCGAUUGACGUUACCCGCAGAAGAAGCACCGGCUAACUCCGUGCCAGCAGCCGCGGUAAUACGGAGGGUGCAAGCGUUAAUCGGAAUUACUGGGCGUAAAGCGCACGCAGGCGGUCUGUCAAGUCGGAUGUGAAAUCCCCGGGCUCAACCUGGGAACUGCAUUCGAAACUGGCAGGCUAGAGUCUUGUAGAGGGGGGUAGAAUUCCAGGUGUAGCGGUGAAAUGCGUAGAGAUCUGGAGGAAUACCGGUGGCGAAGGCGGCCCCCUGGACAAAGACUGACGCUCAGGUGCGAAAGCGUGGGGAGCAAACAGGAUUAGAUACCCGUGUAGUCCCAUGAU
rnacentral:rRNA from 1 species